rnacentral:rRNA from 1 species
GACGAACGCUGGCGGCGUGCUUAACACAUGCAAGUCGAACGAUGAAGCGGGUGCUUGCACUCGUGGAUUAGUGGCGAACGGGCGAGUAACACGUGAGUAACCUGUCCUUUUCUUUGGGAUAACGGCUGGAAACGGCUGCUAAUACUGGAUAUUCAGGCUGCAUCGCAUGGUGUGGUUUGGAAAGGUUUUUUCUGGGAUUGGGUGGGCUCGCGGCCUAUCAGCUUGUUGGUGGGGUGAUGGCUUACCAAGGCUUUGACGGGUAGCCGGCCUGAGGGGGUGGGCGGUCGCACUGGGACUGAGAUACGGCCCAGACUCCUACGGGAGGCAGCAGUGGGGAAUAUUGCACAAUGGACGAAAGUUUGAUGCAGCGACGCCGCGUGGAGGGUGUAGGCCUUCGGGUUGUGAACUCCUUUGUCUCGCGAAAAAGGCACAGUUUUGGCUGUGUUGAUGGUAGUGGGGGAAGAAGCGCCGGCUAACUACGUG